GAUGAACGCUGGCGGCGUGCUUAACACACGCAAGUCGAACGGGAAACCUUUUAUUGAAGCUUCGGCAGAUUUAGCUGGUUUCUAGUGGCGGACGGGUGAGUAACGCGUGGGUAACCUGCCCUAUACAGGGGGAUAACAACCAGAAAUGGUUGCUAAUACCGCAUAAGCGCACAGGACCGCAUGGUCCGGUGUGAAAAACUCCGGUGGUAUAGGAUGGACCCGCGUUGGAUUAGCCAGUUGGCAGGGUAACGGCCUACCAAAGCGACGAUCCAUAGCCGGCCUGAGAGGGUGAACGGCCACAUUGGGACUGAGACACGGCCCAGACUCCUACGGGAGGCAGCAGUGGGGAAUAUUGCACAAUGGGGGAAACCCUGAUGCAGCGACGCCGCGUGAAGGAAGAAGUAUCUCGGUAUGUAAACUUCUAUCAGCAGGGAAGAUAGUGACGGUACCUGACUAAGAAGCCCCGGCUAACUACGUGCCAGCAGCCGCGGUAAUACGUAGGGGGCAAGCGUUAUCCGGAUUUACUGGGUGUAAAGGGAGCGUAGACGGAUUAGCAAGUCUGAUGUGAAAGGCAGGGGCUCAACCCCUGGACUGCAUUGGAAACUGCCAGUCUUGAGUGCCGGAGAGGUAAGCGGAAUUCCUAGUGUAGCGGUGAAAUGCGUAGAUAUUAGGAGGAACACCAGUGGCGAAGG
rnacentral:rRNA from 1 species